GCCCUGGUGGCUCAGUGGUUAAGAACUCAGCUUCUAACUGAAAGAUUGGUGGUUUGAGCCCACCCAGUGGCU
rnacentral:tRNA from 1 species